AUCCUUGUGCAGUGGCAGUAUCGUAGCCUAUGAGGUUUAUCCGAGGCGUGAUUAUUGCUGGUUGAAAACUUUACCCAAUACCCCGCCUUGACGACUUGAAAUACAGUCGGCUAUGGCAAUUUUUGACUGUCUCUAGUCUAGGGAGA